rnacentral:rRNA from 1 species
ANAGCCGAAACACCNNUAAAACCGCCCGGGAGAACUCCAACGCACUACGAGGCAUUCAAACCCAAAGGACUUGGCGGUGCCUCAGGACCCAGCGAGAGGAGCCURUUCCUAGCCCGCAUAACCCGCAACACACCCACCACCGCUGGGNAGUCGCCGCCUAUAUACCGACGACGCUCCUCUGAAGCCCCUGUAGCAAAGGCACACCCCAAACGUCAGGUCGAGGUGUAGCGUAUGAGUGGGAAGAAAUGGGCUACAUUCUCUACUCCAGAGAACACGAAAGGUAAAAUGAAACAAAUACCUGAAGGCGGAUUUAGCAGUAAGAAGAAAAACG